UACGGGGGGAGCAAGCGUUGUUCGGAUUUACUGGGCGUAAAGGGCGCGUAGGCGGCCACCGCAAGUCGGUUGUGAAAUCUCUGGGCUUAACCCAGAAAGGUCAACCGAUACUGCGGGGCUAGAGUGCAGAAGGGGCAACUGGAAUUCUCGGUGUAGCGGUGAAAUGCGUAGAUAUCGAGAGGAACACCUGCGGCGAAGGCGGGUCUCUGGGCAAUUCCUGACGCUGAGGCGCGAAAGCGUGGGGAGCAAACGGG
rnacentral:rRNA from 1 species